CCGGAACUGCAAGUCCAUACAGCCAUACCUCCCAAUGGAAGAUCCCCUGUUCACAAUCAAAUACCUGAGAGUAAGGCAGAAGAUGGUCUUGGAGACACUCCUGAGAUUCCAGAACCAGAGGUCACCUAUAUGGUUAUUCCGUCCAAUGAAGAGUCUGCUGUUGCCAACCAAAACCUUGAAAGCAACGUAGAAAAUACUGGUGAUUUUACUGAUGAUGCCACUGAUGAUGUUGUAUCCGGACCUACCAUUUCCAACGUGGUGAUUGAUGAGGAAGCUUUCGAGAUGGCACCUGCUGCUAAAAGCUCACCUGGUGAUAUUGCCAAUGAAUCAUGGGUUGUUUCUGAAAGUAGGUCUCAGGAUUAUCCCGGAGAGAAGCAUGAGGAACUAGGUGAUUGUGGUGUGUCUGAAGUGUCUCAGUCAUGGAGUGAGCCUCGUAAUGAACCAUCAGAGAAUAGGUCUGCAACUCAAGAUGUUCCUACAAAUACCUCUACUACAUCUACUGGUGCAAGUGAAGUGUCUAAUUCACAGGGUGAGCCUCUUAAGGAACCAUUGGAGAACAGAUUUGCAACCCAAGGUAUUCCUACAAAUACAUCUACUGCAUCUACUGUAGUACCGUCUGUUAAACUCUGGACAAAUGCCGGGCUCUUUGGACUUGAACCAUCUAAACCUCCAGUAUUUGGUGCCCAAGAUACUCCAAGGGAGGAUACUCCACCUGGUUUUGAAGUACCUCAACCAAGCC
rnacentral:lncRNA from 1 species